UACAGAGGUCUCAAGCGUUGUUCGGAUUCAUUGGGCGUAAAGGGUGCGUAGGCGGCGCGGUAAGUCGGGUGUGAAAUCUCGGAGCUUAACUCCGAAACUGCAUUCGAUACUGCCGUGCUUGAGGACUGGAGAGGAGACUGGAAUUUACGGUGUAGCGGUGAAAUGCGUAGAUAUCUGGAAGAACACCAGUGGCGAAGGCGGUCAACUGGCCCGUAACUGACGCUCAGGCACGAAAGCGUGGGUAGCGAACAGG
rnacentral:rRNA from 1 species